rnacentral:rRNA from 1 species
AUUGAACGCUGGCGGCAUGCCUUACACAUGCAAGUCGAACGGUAACAGGUCUUCGGAUGCUGACGAGUGGCGAACGGGUGAGUAAUACAUCGGAACGUGCCUAGUAGUGGGGGAUAACUACUCGAAAGAGUGGCUAAUACCGCAUGAGAUCUACGGAUGAAAGCAGGGGAUCGCAAGACCUUGUGCUACUAGAGCGGCCGAUGGCAGAUUAGGUAGUUGGUGGGAUAAAAGCUUACCAAGCCGACGAUCUGUAGCUGGUCUGAGAGGACGAUCGGCCACACUGGGACUGGGACACGGCCCAGACUCCUACGGGAGGCAGCAGUGGGGAAUUUGGGACAAUGGGCGCAAGCCUGAUCCAGCAAUGCCGCGUGCAGGAUGAAGGCCUUCGGGUUGUAAACUGCUUUUGUACGGAACGAAAAGCCCCGGGUUAAUACCCUGGGGUCAUGACGGUACCGUAAGAAUAAGCACCGGCUAACUACGUGCCAGCCGCCGCCGUAA